rnacentral:lncRNA from 1 species
GCAGCUCAAGAACAAGAUGAUGAUGAUGUACCAGACCUUGUGGCUGGCGAGACCUUUGAGGCUGCCGCAGAGGAGGGCCAUGAUCAUGAUCAUGACCAUGACCAUGACCAUGACCAUGACCAUGAUCAUGGUCAUGGUCAUGAUGAUCAUGGUCAUGCUUAAGAGCUCGAUAUUGAUUUUGUGUGCAAUUCCUUGUAUUUUUAUUUUUUUAAUGCUUUUGAGAUGUUUAUUAUGAAAAUACUAGACAGUUUGUUACAUUAACAUAGCCCUUCAGAUCAUUAUCUGCC